UGGGGAAUAUUGCACAAUGGGCGCAAGCCUGAUGCAGCCAUGCCGCGUGUAUGAAGAAGGCCUUCGGGUUGUAAAGUACUUUCAGCGGGGAGGAAGGGAGUAAAGUUAAUACCUUUACUCAUUGACGUUACCCGCAGAAGAAGCACCGGCUAACUCCGUGCCAGCAGCCGCGGUAAUACGGAGGGUGCAAGCGUUAAUCGGAAUUACUGGGCGUAAAGCGCACGCAGGCGGUCUGUCAAGUCGGAUGUGAAAUCCCCGGGCUUAACCUGGGAACUGCAGUGGAAACUGGCAGGCUAGAGUCUUGUAGGGGGGGGUAGAAUUCCAGGUGUAGCGGUGAAAUGCGUAGAGAUCUGGAGGAAGACCGGUGGCGAAGGCGGCCCCCUGGACAAAGACUGACGCUCAGGUGCGAAAGCGUGGGGAGCAAACGGG
rnacentral:rRNA from 1 species